rnacentral:lncRNA from 1 species
UUCCGAUAUAUGAGAGAGAGGUCCGAGAAAGAGUAGGACCUAAUUUGGGAAAAGCCGUUGAGAAUCCUUAUUUCUUAUUUUAAAUCACAGAACACAAAGAGGAAAUCCUUGGUCUGUUUUCUGUGGCAAAAAGAGGAUAUUAAGAAGGUCCCCUUGCAAAAUCUGCUAAGUUUCGAUGCCGUAAGUUGCGUACAUUUAUCAAUAAGUGUUAUAUGUUAUGCCUUCAGUUUUUUGCAGGGAAAAUAUGCUUUGCAGUGCAACAUUCUUUUUGUUUACAUUUUGUGGGAAGCCUCUCCACCAGACACUUGAUCUGCCACUCUCAUAUAGGACAAUCUUUUUGGGCCCCAGAGAAGAACUGUAAGAAUCAUGGUGGGUCUGAGGUACAGGUAAAACUGUAGGCAUGUGUAUAUAAAAAGUUGAUGACUGAGACCUGUAGUUUUUCAUAACUUAUGAAGAUAUAAGGUAGUAUGAACCUAGUCAAACAGAUGUUGUGAAGAUAUCUAAACUAGGCUAAACACACUCCUGAGAGGAUAAAAAUAGAUGCCCGAGGCAACAUAAGGCAAAGAAGAUUAAAUAGGCAGUGUAGGAGAAAAUCUAAGCCUUCAUCAGAAGCAGAACACUGUUUUGUAGAGGCACCUAUUUCUCUAGAGACUUGCGAAAUAGAUACCUUGGGUUUUGCGGAGCUUUCCUUUUCAACAUAAUUUUGGCAGAGAACUUUGACUGCAACUAAAGUGUCAAAAAAUACUUUGCAAAAAUUGUGCAAGAACGUACAAAAGUCGAAUGGCAAGGACCGGGCUCUUCUUUUUCAACGCCUAAAAAAACAAAAACCAACCAAAAAUAAAGAAAAGCAAAUUGGAUAAUAUCUUGCCACAUCAGAUAAAAGAUAUUAGAGAAAUUGUUUACAAUUUUUAUGUAAUGGAGAAGAAAUUAGUCACGCCCAAAGUAAAGGAUGGUAUGAUGAUACUUCUAAAGGCAUAAAACGGCCAAUUUCAAAAGGCCAACGAUUAAUUAUAAUACAUGCUGGUGGAGAAAGAGGAUUCGUUAACAACGGAUUACUUAUAUUCAAAUCAGCUGUUGUUACAGGUACAGAAACUGGGGACUAUCACAAAGAUAUGAACGAUAAUCACGAUAAUUUGAUGACCUGGGUUAAAAAGCAAUUACUGCCGAAUUUACCUGUAAGGUCUGUCCUCAUUGUGGACAAUGCUGCAUAUCAUAAUGUCCCUACACAAAAGAAUAUCACAACGGCUUCUAGGAAUGACGAAAUUAAGUCUGGUUGAAUGAAAAUACCAGUGGAUUCCACAAAAACUAAGCCACAGCUCUAUAAUAUUAUCAAAGAAAAUAAAUUUCGUUUUCCGACCAAAUACAAGUUGGAUGACCUGCUAGAGCAACAUGGACACUGUGUGUUACGCUUGCCUCCUUAUCACCCUGAACUAAAUCCCAUUGAAAAAAUAUGGGCUUUAGUUAAAAACUGGGUAGCAGCUCAUAAUACUACAUUCAAACUAGCAGAUACCGAAGCACUGGCAAGGCAAAAAAUCUGUGGAUAAACUAUGUUUUAUAGUAAAUACGGGUUGAUCAUCAGAGCAAAGUGACUACACAGACAGCGGGAGUGACGAAGAUGAAUCGGAAGAUGAUUUAGGAUGCUCGCCUCUUCAGUCGUCUGCAGUAGAAUAAAUAAUAAAGCUAAAAUUUAUUUAAAUAAAUGGCGUUUUACAAAAUUGGAAUG